CGAUUCCUCGGCGGAGUCACACCAAAUACAAGACAAAGGCUCGUCCAAAGGAAUUACUCCUCGACGAGCAAGAUUCACCCGCGUAGGAAUCCUUCCCAAAAGAGCUUGCCAGGAAAAAACAAUAACCUUUGUCGGUGCCCAACUAUCCCACACUUUAGCAAUUGUCCCGGAUGAACUCAAACCAAUCAAAGGAGGCGGAAUAAAGCGAU
rnacentral:lncRNA from 1 species